CCGACAGCAGUAUGAAGGCCAGGCUGAAGACUUUGCCGGAUUAGCUGAGAGGUGGUGCAUGGCCGUCGUCAGUUCGUACUGUGAAGCAUCCUGUUAAGUCAGGCAACGAGCGAGACCCCACGCCCACAGUUGCCAGCGUACUCUCUGGAGUGACGGGUACACUGUGGGACCGCCGCUGCUAAAGCGGAGGAAGGAAUGGGCAACGGUAGGUCAGUAUGCCCCGAAUAUCCCGGGCUACACGCGAGCUACAAUGGUUGGUACAAUGGGUAUCUACCCCGAAAGGGGACGGGAAUCUCCUAAAACCAAUCUUAGUUCGGAUUGAGGGCUGCAACUCGCCCUCAUGAAGCUGGAAUCCGUAGUAAUCGCGUUUCAACAGAACGCGGUGAAUACGUCCCUGCUCCUU
rnacentral:rRNA from 1 species